GGGGAUCCCACGGUACAGAUCUUGGUGUAGUAGCAAAUAAUCGAAUGAGAUCUCACCUUUGGAGGACUGAAGUGGAGAAGGGUUUCUUGUGAACAGUGGUUGAUCACGAGUUAGUCGGUCCUAAGUUCAAGGCGAAAGCCGAAAAUUUUCAAGUAAAACAAAAAUGCCUAACUAUAUAAACAAAGCGAAUAUAAUACACUUGAAUAAUUUUGAACGAAAGGGAAUACGGUUCCAAUUCCGUAACCUGUUGAGUAUCCGUUUGUUAUUAAAUAUGGGCCUCGUGCUCAUCCUGGCAACAGGAACGACCAUAAAGAAGCCGUCGAGAGAUAUCGGAAGAGUUUUCUUUUCUGUUUUAUAGCCGUACUACCAUGGAAGUCUUUCGCAGAGAGAUAUGGUAGAUGGGCUAGAAGAGCAUGACAUAUACUGUUGUGUCGAUAUUUUCUCCUCGGACCUUGAAAAUUUAUGGUGGGGACACGCAAACUUCUCAACAGGCCGUACCAAUAUCCGCAGCUGGUCUCCAAGGUGAAGAGUCUCUAGUCGAUAGAAUAAUGUAGGUAAGGGAAGUCGGCAAAUUAGAUCCGUAACUUCGGGAUAAGGAUUGGCUCUGAAGAUUGAGAUAGUCGGGCUUGAUUGGGAAACAAUAACAUGGUUUAUGUGCUCGUUCUGGGUAAAUAGAGUUUCUAGCAUUUAUGUUAGUUACUUGUUCCCCGGAUAGUUUAGUUACGUAGCCAAUUGUGGAACUUUCUUGCUAAAAUUUUUAAGAAUACUAUUUGGGUUAAACCAAUUAGUUCUUAUCAUUAUAACGAUUAUCAAUAACAUCAAUUCAGAACUGGCACGGAUUGGGGAAUCCGACUGUCUAUUAAACAAAGCAUUGUGAUGGCCUAGCGGUGUUGACACAUGUGAUUCUGCCCAUGCUUGAUGUCAAAUGAAAAUUCAGUACGCGGUCACGGCGGAGAACUUGAUCUCUUAGGAGCAA
rnacentral:ncRNA from 1 species